rnacentral:rRNA from 1 species
AGCAGCCGCGGUAAUUCCAGCUCCAAUAGCGUAUAUUAAAGUUGUUGUAGUUAAAAAGACUCGUAGUUGAAUUUCGGGGUUCUACCGUUGGUCGGGUUAACCAGUCUGUACUAGCGUGUAGAAUUUCUACCUUCUGGGGAACCAUCAUGUUAUUAAUUUAGCGUGGUGGGAAACCAGGACCUUUACCUUGAAAAAAUUAGAGUGUUCAAAGCAGGCUUACGUCUGAAUACAUUAGCAUGGAAUAAUAAAAUAGGACGGUGGUCCUGUUUUGUUGGUUUCUGAAUCACCGUAAUGAUUAAUAGGGAUAGUUGGGGCAUUAGUAUUCAAUUGUCAGAGGUGAAAUUCUUGGAUUUAUUGAAGACUAAACUUCUGCGAAAGCAAUUUGCCAAGGAUGUUUUCACUAAUCAAGAACGAAAGUUAGGGAUCGAAGACGAUCAGAUACCGUCGUAGUCUUAACCAUAAACUAUGCCGACUAGGGAUCGGACGAUGUUAAAUUUAUUGACUCGUUCGGCGCCUUUAC